GGGGUUAUAGCUCGGAGGUAGAGAGUGUGCUUAGCAUGCACAAGAUCCUGGGUUCAAUCCCCAGUACCUCCA
rnacentral:tRNA from 1 species